UGAGUAACGCGUGAGUAACCUGCCCUGGAGUGGGGGACAACAGUUGGAAACGACUGCUAAUACCGCAUAAGCCCACGGAGCCGCAUGGCUCUGAGGGAAAAGGAGAAAUUUGCUUCAGGAUGGACUCGCGUCCAAUUAGCUAGUUGGUGAGGUAACGGCCCACCAAGGCGACGAUUGGUAGCCGGACUGAGAGGUUGAACGGCCACAUUGGGACUGAGACACGGCCCAGACUCCUACGGGAGGCAGCAGUGGGGGAUAUUGCACAAUGGGGGAAACCCUGAUGCAGCGACGCCGCGUGGAGGAAGAAGGUUUUCGGAUUGUAAACUCCUGUCGUUAGGGACGAUAAUGACGGUACCUAACAAGAAAGCACCGGCUAACUACGUGCCAGCAGCCGCGGUAAAACGUAGGGUGCAAGCGUUGUCCGGAAUUACUGGGUGUAAAGGGAGCGCAGGCGGACCGGCAAGUUGGAAGUGAAAACCAUGGGCUCAACCCAUGAAUUGCUUUCAAAACUGCUGGCCUUGAGUAGUGCAGAGGUAGGCGGAAUUCCCGGUGUAGCGGUGGAAUGCGUAGAUAUCGGGAGGAACACCAGUGGCGAAGGCGGCCUACUGGGCACCAACUGACGCUGAGGCUCGAAAGUAUGGGUAGCAAACAGGAUUAGAUACCCUGGUAGUCCAUACCGUAAACGAUGAUUACUAGGUGUUGGAGGAUUGACCCCUUCAGUGCCGCAGUUAACACAAUAAGUAAUCCACCUGGGGAGUACGACCGCAAAGGUUGAAACUCAAAGGAAUUGACGGGGGCCCGCACAAGCAGUGGAGUAUGUGGUUUAAUUCGAAGCAACGCGAAGAACCUUACCAGGUCUUGACAUU
rnacentral:rRNA from 1 species